rnacentral:rRNA from 1 species
AGACGGAGGGUGCUAGCGUUGUUCGGAAUAACUGGGCGUAAAGGGCGCGUAGGCGGUUUGGUCAGUUAGAUGUGAAAGCCCCGGGCUUAACCUGGGAACUGCAUUUAAUACUGCCAGACUAGAGUGCGAGAGAGGAAAGUGGAAUUCCUAGUGUAGAGGUGAAAUUCGUAGAUAUUAGGAGGAACACCAGAGGCGAAGGCGGCUUUCUGGCUCGCAACUGACGCUGAGGCGCGAAAGCGUGGGGAGC